rfam:Trichuris suis scaffold226.4, whole genome shotgun sequence.
GGGUUAGUGGUCUAGUGGUAUGAUUCUCGCUUUGGGUGCGAGAGGUCCGGGGUUCGAUUCCCUGCUAACCCC